AUGAAACUUUCCAAGUUAAAGUUGGAAUUCCGUCACGUACAUGAACUUCUCUUAAAAUAUAGAAAUGCAAGAAUUGCAAAACCACCAUCAGAAACUGGGUUGAAGUUAGUGCAUCUCCCAAACGCAAAUGCAAAUUUCCUAAGGUCCACAACUUCUUCCAAAAUACAAAUUUUAUUGUAAAUACUGUUAGUGCAUCUCCCAAACGCAAUGACGAGCCAAAAUGCAAAUUUUAUUGUAAAUACUGUUAAUGCAUCUCCCAAACGCGCAAUGACAGAAUACAGUCAAAUCCUUUUGUGUUAAGUUAACAGUUUGAAGUAGUGAUGCCUGAUGACCUCCUCAACAUAUAGCGAUUUUAUUUCUAUAGUAUUUCUGUUCCACUUGUGUGUUCGUGCUCUUCAUUUUUACAUCAGUAUAUAUUGUUUCCUCCAUAUACUUUAAAUUUUACAGUAGAUGUGGUUUUCUUUAUCUUUUCCUAAUGCUGUAUAAAAAAAUGAGUUGUACUUUUCUUUGAAUUACAGCUACGAGUUUACAUAAAUCUCGUUGAUGCCUCCCUCGUAUCUAUUUAUCUUUUUGUUGGAUUGGCAUUGAUUGACUUCUUACCCUUGCAGAAACAAGAAUUGGUGAUGAACAUGAUGCAGCUGAUCUUCUGCACCAACCAUAGGUUGAUUGUCCAGUUAAUUAUGCUAUUGUGAUGAACUGUUGAGCUGGUAAGCUUAUCUGAACAAACUAUAAUGCUUUCCUUUUUACUGCCAUUUUUCAAGCAUCAAAUUCCAAGAGAAGAGUGUAAGAUGUUCUGUACAGCUCUGGCCACCUCAUUGCUUUGAUCGCAGGUUGCACCUUGGAUAUUUUCUCCAGGCCUUGCUUCCUCAUCCCUUCCUCAGCAGCUCUCUAUUCUCUUCAUUAUACCUUUAACCACCUGCCUUCCCUUUUAUUUGCUGAUGUUCUGUCCUAUUUCUACUGAAUGUGCCCUUUAGUUUGCCUUCCUGUUUUAUCUAGCUGCCUUCCGUUUAGUUUAUCUCCUCCUUAGUAUCCUCCCUGUUCCUUCUGGUAAUAUGGUUACCUCUCCCUCUUGCUCCUCCAAAGACUCAUGGCUUCCCUUUUCUGCAUAUGUUUAGUGUUCUACGUUUCUAAUGUUGGGUUUGUCCAACAAUUCGGUUUUGGAGCUCUUGGCACAAAGUAUUGAAGUUAAAUGUUUACUAUCUGAGUCUUUCCAAAUUGUAUCUAGGAUUACAUUUUAGUGGCACAAGAUGUAGAAAUGUGUCUAGGAUACAUUCCGGUGGCACAAGAUGCAAAAAUGUGUUGUGGCUUGUAAGAAUUAACCGCUUAAUUUCCUAACUUACCAUCUAUUAUAUAAUAUAUGUACACAAUUAGCCAACUGGCAUGGAAGACCGACUUGCUUGGAUUAUUGAUUAGUGUCCGCGGCCCUGUCAGUUUAUCUUCUUGGGUUCAUUUGCAUGCCAAAAAAAAUCCUUCUUGGGUUCAUUU